rnacentral:lncRNA from 12 species
CUCAUUCUUUUUUAGAAUUUGGGAGCAAACCUGGAGGUGUGGUGAAUGUUUGGAACAAUCAAUUCUUCAUCAGUUUGGUCCACUUGAAUGUAUUAUUCUCAGGCUCUGUUUGCUUCCCGCUUACCGUCUACACACCUGGGGAGCCCAAUCUACUCACAAGAAGGCUUAUUCUGUUCUGACCACAGAGAGUUCAUCAGACGCUUCACGUGAUAGCCCUACUGGAAGGGCUUUGCUUCAUAAUGGCUGUGGGUGAAAUUACCUGCACGUGGACCACACUGAACCUCUCCUGGUAGCCCCAAGAUGCUGUAAGUGGAUGUGAGUACUGGGCACCGGUUCUUUUUUAUUUAUUUUUUAUUUUUAUUUUAUUUUUUAAAGAUUUUAUUAAUUUAUUCAUUAGAGACACAGAGAGAGAGAGAGUGAGGCAAGACACAGGCAGAGGGAGAAGCAGGCUCCACACAGGGAGCCCGAUGUGGGACUCGAUCCCGGGUCUCCAGGAUGAGGCCCUGGGCUGAAGGCGACGCUAAACAACUGAGCCACCCAGGCUGGGCACCGGUUCUUAAUUGGGCACCUGUUUUACUCUAGAAUUUGCUCAUCCUGUAAA